rnacentral:rRNA from 1 species
GACGAACGCUGGCGGCGUGCUUAACACAUGCAAGUCGAACGGAACGGCCCUGCUUGCAGGGUACUCGAGUGGCGAACGGGUGAGUAACACGUGGGUGAUCUGCCCUGAACUUCGGGAUAAGCCUGGGAAACUGGGUCUAAUACCGGAUAGGAGCCAUUUUUAGUGUGAUGGUUGGAAAGUCUUUUCGGUGUAGGAUGAGCUCGCGGCCUAUCAGCUUGUUGGUGGGGUACUGGCCUACCAAGGCGGCGACGGGUAGCCGGCCUGGGAGGGUGGACGGCCACAUUGGGACUGGGAUACGGCCCGGACUCCAACGGGAGGCAGCAGUGGGGAAUAUUGCACAAGGGGCGGAAGCCUGAUGCAGCGGCGCCGCGUGGGGGAUGACGGGCUUCGGGUUGUGAACUCCUUUCGCUAGGGACGAAGCGUUUUGUGACGGUACCUAGAGAAGAAGCACCGGCUAACUACGUG